rfam:Halalkalicoccus jeotgali B3, complete genome.
GGGCACGUAACUCAGCCAGGACAGAGUACCGGAUCUCGUAUCCGGCCGUCGCGUGGUUCGAAUCCCGUCGUGCCCG